rnacentral:lncRNA from 1 species
GGCCCACGUCUACACCGCACACCUCAUGGGAGGGCCCGCGUCUACAGCGCAUGCCUCACGGGAGGGCCGGCAUCUACACCGCACGCCUCACGGGAGGGCCCGCGUCUACACCGCAUGCCUCACGGGAGGGCCCGCGUCUACACCGCAUGCCUCACGGGAGGGCCGGCGUCUAGACCACACGCCUCAUCCCUCACGGGAGGGACGUGGUGAACACGCACCCGGGGCUGUCGUUCCUGAAGGAGGCGUCCGAGUUUCACUCGCGCUACAUCACCACGGUGGGUCCCCAGCGGAGAGGCCGUCGGUUCCAGCGCGGGGCGCGGGUGUUUCUGCAGCGGCCGCCGCGGGGCUUCUGCGGAGCGGGGCGGGCGGGGCCCGGGGGUCCUGAUCUUCCGGAGGAGGCGGCCGCGCCCUGGGAGAGUCUCCGCCCGCCCGGGAGCCCAGUGUUGGGGGGACUCUGGUUUUCGGGGUGGCCG